GAUGAACGCUGGCGGCGUGCUUAACACAUGCAAGUCGAACGGUGAACCCGGAGCUUGCUCUGUGGGAUCAGUGGCGAACGGGUGAGUAACACGUGAGCAACCUGCCCCUGACUCUGGGAUAAGCGCUGGAAACGGCGUCUAAUACUGGAUAUGUGACGUGACCGCAUGGUCUGCGUUUGGAAAGAUUUUUCGGUUGGGGAUGGGCUCGCGGCCUAUCAGCUUGUUGGUGAGGUAAUGGCUCACCAAGGCGUCGACGGGUAGCCGGCCUGAGAGGGUGACCGGCCACACUGGGACUGAGACACGGCCCAGACUCCUACGGGAGGCAGCAGUGGGGAAUAUUGCACAAAGGGCGCAAGCCUGAUGCAGCAACGCCGCGUGAGGGAUGACGGCCUUCGGGUUGUAAACCUCUUUUAGCAGGGAAGAAGCGAAAGUGACGGUACCUGCAGAAAAAGCGCCGGCUAACUACGUG
rnacentral:rRNA from 1 species